rnacentral:rRNA from 1 species
GUAAAGCGCGCGCAGGCGGCCUUUUAAGUUGGAUGUGAAAGCCUAUGGACAACCAUAGAACUGCAUCCAAAACUAUCAGGCUAGAGUGUGGGAGAGGAAGAUGGAAUUAGUUGUGUAGGGGUAAAAUCCGUAGAGAUAACUAGGAAUACCAAAAGCGAAGGCAAUCUUCUGGAACAUUACUGACGCUGAGGCGCGAAAGCGUGGGGAGCAAACAGGAUUAGAUACCCUGGUAGUCCACGCCCUAAACGAUGAAUGUUAGUCGUCGGGUAGCUAGUCUAUUCGGUGAUGCAGCUAACGCAUUAAACAUUCCGCCUGGGGAGUACGGUCGCAAGAUUAAAACUCAAAGGAAUAGACGGGGACCCGCACAAGUGGUGGAGCAUGUGGUUUAAUUCGAAGAUACGCGAAGAACCUUACCUAGCCUUGACAUAUUUAAGAACACUUUAGAGAUAGAGUGGUGCCUUCGGGAGCUUUUAUACAGGUGCUGCACGGCUGUCGUCAGCUCGUGUCGUGAGAUGUUGGGUUAAGUCCCGCAACGAGCGCAACCCUCGUCACUAGUUACUAACGGUUCGGCCGAGGACUCUAGUGAGACUGCCUUCGCAAGGAGGAGGAAGGUGAGGACGACGUCAAGUCAUCAUGGCCCUUACGGCUAGGGCAACAC